rnacentral:tRNA from 1 species
GAUUGUGGCUCAGCGGUAGAGCACUUGCCUAGCAUGUGUGAGGUGCUGGGUUCGAUCCUCAGCACCA